rnacentral:rRNA from 1 species
AUGGACGCGCACCGUCACCACCACCACCAAAAUCCAACGGCGAGUCGGGACGGCAACUCCACCUGCACCCACGACGAAGACGACGACGACGACGACUUCCAUCCAUGUAACCACCAUCCCAUCCAUCCAUCCAUCCAUCCUUCCUCCCGCACGAAACCAACCCGAUCCCACGAGAGAGAAAAAUCAGGGCCAAGAUCGUUUUUACAACCGGGUCGCGCUCCGCUCCUCGUUUCUCGUAGGACUUCUUCUUCCCGAGCCCUCUCAUUAGAACACACAAAGAACAGGCACCUUCCAAAGCCGAAACCAAAAGAAAAAAAAAAUCCCCCAAUCCCGAUUUCUCUUUCUCUCCGCGCGCAUCUCCAUCAAAGAUUUCUUCUUUGCUCCCCUUCCUCCUUCCGCCGUCUCCGCGACGGCUCGUGGGGAGAGGCGGGGGACGAAUUCCCCUCCUCUCCAAUUCGCCGCGGCGAGGGCAGGGUUAGGGUUUGCGGGGGAGCCCUCGCCGAAUUCGCCGUGAUCUCGCCGCCGGGCCGGUGA